GCGGGUGUAGCUCAGUUGGUAGAGCACGACGUUGCCAACGUCGUUGUCGUGGGUUCGAAUCCCAUCACCCGCUCCU
rnacentral:tRNA from 1 species